AUAUAUAUAUAUAUAAUAUACACACCAUUGAACUUGAUGGGAUACACGAAACUAACUUCAACGAUCAAACCGUCAAACUUGUUUGUAUAUGUUUCGAGAUCGCAUAUGCCAAAAAUCACAAAAAACAAACAUUCACAGAUCAAGUAAUGAGACAAAACUUUUCGACGGUUAUAAAACAAAAAAUCACGAUUUAACGGUUAUUUUAACUUCGAUUUUGAUGAUUUUUUACAACUACACUUGUUGACCCUAUACGAAUACAAUGAAUGAAUUCGAUCGUCAAUUUAAAAUAUUUACAUAAGUGGAUAUCACAAAAUCUUAUGUUAUACUUAAUGAAAAGUAUAAAUAAACUUUAAGUGUUAGUGAAUCUAUCGUUUUGAUGGGAUACGAACUCUAUGAAACUAAUUUCAAUGAUCCAACCAUCAAUCUUGUUUGUAUAUGCUUCGAGAUCGCAUACGCCAAAAAUCACAAAAAACAAACAUUCAGAGAUCAAGUAAUAAGACAAAACUUUUCGACGGUUAUAAAACAAAAAAUCACAAUUUAACGGUUAUUUUAACUUCGAUUUUGAUAAUUUUUUUGCAACUACACUUGUUGACCCUAUACGAAUACAAUGAAUGAAUUCGAUCGUCAAUUUAAAAUAUUUACACAAGUGGAUACCACAAAAUCUUAUUUUAUACUUAAUGAAGGUAUAAAUAAACUCUAAAUGUUAGUGAAUCUAUCGUUUUGAUGAGAUACAAAUUCUAUGAAACUAAUUUCAAUGAUCAAACCGUCAAACUUGUUUGUAUAUGUUUCGAGAUCGCAUACGCCAAAAAUCACAAAAAAAAAACAUUCAGAGAUCAAGUAAUGAGACAAAACUUUUCGACGGUUAUAAAACAAAAAAUCACGAUUUAACGGUUAUUUUAACUUCGAUUUUGAUGAUUUUUUACAACUACACUUGUUGACCCUAUACGAAUACAAUGAAUGAAUUCGAUCGUCAAUUUAAAAUAUUUACACAAGUGGAUACCUCAAAAUCUUAUUUUAUACUUAAUGAAGGUAUAAAUAAACUCUAAGUGUUAGUGAAUCUAUCGUUUUGAUGAGAUACAAAUUCUAUGAAACUAAUUUCAAUGAUCAAACCGUCAAACUUGUUUGUAUAUGUUUCGAGAUCGCAUACGCCAAAAAUCACAAAAAAAAAACAUUCAGAGAUCAAGUAAUGAGACAAAACUUUUCGACGGUUAUAAAAC
rnacentral:lncRNA from 1 species